rnacentral:rRNA from 1 species
AGAGUUUGAUCCUGGCUCAGAGCGAACGCUGGCGGCAGGCUUAACACAUGCAAGUCGAGCGGGCGUAGCAAUACGUCAGCGGCAGACGGGUGAGUAACGCGUGGGAACAUACCUCUUGGUUCGGAACAACACAGGGAAACUUGUGCUAAUACCGGAUAAGCCCUUACGGGGAAAGAUUUAUCGCCGAGAGAUUGGCCCGCGUCUGAUUAGCUAGUUGGUAGGGUAAUGGCCCACCAAGGCGACGAUCAGUAGCUGGUCUGAGAGGAUGAUCAGCCACAUUGGGACUGAGACACGGCCCAAACUCCUACGGGAGGCAGCAGUGGGGAAUAUUGGACAAUGGGGGCAACCCUGAUCCAGCCAUGCCGCGUGAGUGAUGAAGGCCCUAGGGUUGUAAAGCUCUUUUGUGCGGGAAGAUAAUGACGGUACCGCAAGAAUAAGCCCCGGCUAACUUCGUGCCAGCAGCCGCGGUAAUACGAAGGGGGCUAGCGUUGCUCGGAAUCACUGGGCGUAAAGGGUGCGUAGGCGGGUCUUUAAGUCAGGGGUGAAAUCCUGGAGCUCAACUCCAGAACUGCCUUUGAUACUGAAGAUCUUGAGUUCGGGAGAGGUGAGUGGAACUGCGAGUGUAGAGGUGAAAUUCGUAGAUAUUCGCAAGAACACCAGUGGCGAAGGCGGCUCACUGGCCCGAUACUGACGCUGAGGCACGAAAGCGUGGGGAGCAAACAGGAUUAGAUACCCUGGUAGUCC